UUGGUGACACGAGGCCCUGAAGGGCCCUAACUGUCUCCAUGGUUCCAUCAGGCCCCACAGAGCCAUAAUGGUCUCUGGGUUCCAUGAAGCCCUGCUGCGUCACCACGGCCCCUUGGUUCCAUGGGCUCCAGUGGUGCCACAAUGAUCCCCUUUGGUUCCAUGAAGUCCCCACAGUGUCCCAGUGAUCUCCAUGGGAAAGAAAGAAUCCAGCCCCAGUGUUGGAGGGGCAGUCACCAGAGGCCAAGGCCAGCCAGACUUGAUGGUGCUGGCAGAUUUUGCCUGGGAUCAACCCUCGGAUAUACAGAAUUUUAGAGGUGGAAUCCCAAUUUCAGACAUGGACACCUGGAGGAAGAAGGAUGGUUCUUUACCAUAGGAAGGAAAGCACAGAGCCCAAGGGUUUCAAAGGCAGAAGAGGAGAGAGGUGGCUCCUGGGAGGCCAAGCCAGUCUCACUUGUUUUUCCUGGCAGCUUUUGUAAUGGAGGAAUCCUUGGAUAUAUGGAAUUUGGGAGGAGGAAUCUCAACUUUGACCACAGAUGCCUUGAGAAGAAGGACGGUUCUUUUCCAUAGGAAGGAAAGCACCAACCCCAGUGUUUGGAAAGCAGUGCUCUUCAAGUCUUCAGGGCUUGUGCAGCUGACUGGAGUCAGUUUGGAGUUAUAUUAAGGAGGAAGAUUUCAAACUACACCUCAUGACUUUUUUCUUUUAAUCAAGUGAGAUGUUGAGUGCCAGCAAGGUAAGCCUCCCCAAGCUACAAGGUCUGCCUUUGAUGUGUGAAGGGAUACCAGGCCACGCUACAUCCCUGCAAAUAAGAAACACAUCCAGUGGCAACUGAAGUGGGUAGCUACCGGACCAAGAAAUUAUGGAAGAGGUGCAAUUACACCAUUGGUUCUGUUUUUUGUAAGUGGGAUGAUAUGGGGAGAUGUCUCUCCUGAUAGUUUCUUUUUCUCUUGUAAUUUUGGGUCUUUCACCUUCUUCCCAUUUCAGACGGUAAUAAAACCUUACACAAAAGUCCAUUUUUACAGAGUUGAGAAUUUUUACCUCCUGGAGUUCAAGUGCUGCAUGCAGAAGCUUCCAUUAGUCCCAAGCAUCGACAGGUUGCACUUGCAUUUGCCUUUAGGAUUGUCAUCUCUCACACUGGGGGUGGAAUUGUCAGUUAGUGGCCAGACAUCUGUAGGCAACCCCACUAGGAAGGUGCAGAAGGGGUCGUCAGAGCUGACAACAGGCACAGGGUGUCUUGUUUCAUGGCUUUUGCUGGAGGUAUCCAUAUGUUGUGCUUUGGUUGUGGAGCUACCCAUCCACUCGUGAGGAGCAUGGUUGCAAACAGGCUGAGGAAGGUGAGUAGAAGCUUCUUAUAUGUCAUCUUCAAAAGAAUUGUCUAGUCCAGGUACUAGAGUCGCUGUCUGGUGGUUUUUGUCCUGGGGUGGACUUGGGGGUUCCUUUGGUGAAUCCACGCUCUGUGGCUGCAGGUAGGGCUUGAUGUUCUUAGCUGGGACACACGAAGGUCCUUUACCACGAAUGGUCUUGUUGUAGCAGUUUGGUCUUCAGGUCCUUUGAUGUUGAAGAGUUCUGCACUUUGGAGACUAUCACUGUCACCUCUGAUCCUGGACAAUCCCGCAUUAGCUCUGAGCACCCAGUUAGGAGGCCACUUGGAACGUGAGAUACUUGUCGCAUCUGCUCCCAUGUCCACAAGCCCUAUCAAAAUAAUAUGUUCAUUGGUAAGUUCCAGAGUGCAGGCGAUUUUUGGUUGAUCAUGACUUAUCACCUGGGUCCACAUCACUAGUGAAGCGUCACCAGCAUCCUGUUCAAGGAGUAAUAUGGCUUGGGCAAUUGUUAGUCAUUGGGGUGUAAAACAAGGUGGGUCAGGAGACAGGUCCAACACUGUAAUUUCUUUUUGUGAGGCGACUGAGAGUACAGAUGACAGUGUGAAAAAUCCAUCAGUCCUUGAUCAGCAGUUUCCAAAGAUUAAUAGUUCACCAAUCUUCGGGCCCCAUCUGUCCUGUGGAUAUUGCAUGGACAAAAUAGUCAGUUAAAACUAUUACAAGCAAAGCAGACUUUGCACUCACCAACUCCUAUUUUGUGCCUGGUGAUAAGGUGUUUGGCAACUGGGAGAUGAGGUGCUGGACUUCAGUGCUAUGGGAUCUUGCAGCGGCUACUGCUGACCUCUUGGUCUCUGACUCGCCCGGCUGCACAGGCCAGCACCGCCGGCAGCAGUGAGGUAUUUAAGGCGGAAUGCCUUCAGAAGGGCGAGAAACCCCCAGAGCCGUGAGGAGAGAAGCUGGGCUGCGUCCCGCAGGAGAAAAGGCUUUGGACCGCGCCGACAGGGAAAAAGGAGGUGUUUAUUGAUGGUGCAUCGGGCGCGGACAAAAAAGCUUGCUCGGCAAGGUCUUAUAACUAGAACACAGCGACCAAUCUAAAAUUUUGAGAGGAGGGAAUAACGCAUAACAAACAGCUCAGAUGUCCAGUGUAAAUAAAUUAGGGGUUGAACCCUGACCUCUAAACCAAUCAUUCAAUGUCCAGGCCAGAAUGUUCUGGAUGAGUGGGCAAGGACCCUGAAUAACAGACAGGCAGUUAGGGAGGAAUUUAGGAAAGAUAAAGUGUAGCUGACGGGACAAUUCAGAAGAGGGAGAGAGAGAAAGCCCGGGCAGAACCAUAAACAGGAAUGGGGGGUACAGGAAUAAACCAACUUAAAACUAAUGCACCCCAACAUCUCCCCCUUCUUUGUUUAAAAAAAAAGGAGGAGUGGGGUAACUUAAAAACCAUCUUCUGAGGAUUCAUCUGACCAGGGGUUGUCUUUUAAUUGCUCGUCUUCUUCGGUGCCUUCUUCUUCUUGACUUCCGUCCAUAACCUGUUCUUCGACUACCACUCGAUUCACUUCCACAGCAGACAUCGACUUAACGAUAAGCCCUUUAAGAAUUCUCCAAACGACAGAAAUUGCAAUUGAAAUGACCAGUAAAAUGAAAAGGACUAAAACAACAGUUUUCAAAAUAGAGACUACCCAACCCGAGAGACCCCAUCCCGUAAAGAUGUCUCCCAGCCAGUCUGAUGUUUUCUCCUUAAUGUCGCUGAUCAUUCCCCUCAUUUGGUCAAUAGAUCUUCUGGCGUCCCCGGCUUUGGAUGAUAAAUUGAGGCAGCAGAGCCCUUCGAACUCUUCACACCGGUGAUCAUGGAGCAGCAAUAGAAAAUCUAUUGCUGCCCGGUUUUGGAGAGUCGCCUGCCUUGUUAUUUCCUCGUCUGCUAGGAGGUUACUUAGAGCGGCUGAGGUAAAAUUGGCUUGUUUGGCUACCCAACACUCUAGGUGGGCUAAUUCACCUAGAGACUUCGCAAUAGACACCCAUGGGAGAAACACUGUCCAUGCGACACCUUCUGGCUUUGACCAAUGAACAAUAUUGGAGUCGCACUGUUCAUUUAAAUCUUUAAGAUCUCUUGCUACACGGGCCGAAUUGUGUGCGACAAUUUUCUGUUUCCAAUCUUUAAUUUGGGAAUUGUUGGGAGCAAACAGCGUCAGCCGUCCAAAUGUACACGGGCCUCCUAGAAGGCGAGGGGGGAUGCCUGCCCAUGCUCGGUC